rnacentral:antisense_RNA from 1 species
GUGGUGUCCCGGCCAGGCCCAGCGGGAGAGUGGGAAGAAACACAAAAGAAGGCGGCAGGAUCCCAUGUGUUUCUAAUCCAAAGAAUAUCACUGGGAGACUCUUGGCUUUUCCUUCAGGUACUCUGUUCACAUGGGCAUCUGCCCGAGUUGGCUUUGCUUCUCCCUUGGAGACAUUCAGAACUGUCUGGGAUUCUGUCACAUGGAAAUCUACUAAGCCAAAAUGGAGCUGGGACAACUCUUCAAUUACUUGGAAAAAGUUUAUGGCUACUAUGGUUUCCUCUUCUUCAAGGAAGAUAUGCCCUGUUUCUUCAACUGUACCUCAAAUAUUUUGGUCCUAAGCUCUUCCCACACCCUGGUCAUGGUGUAAGCACAAGUGUAAUUGUGGGACAUAUUCCCUUUCUUUUGCAUUUAGAUAGUUAUGUAGGCAACUUACCAGAGGCAGAGAUGAAGGGCGGUCUGCUCGGAAACUGUUUUCAGCAGAAGAUGGAUUGGGACUGUUACCAACACUUGUAUUCUGAAAUUAUUGGAACAAAAUGAAAAGCCAGAUUAACUAUGAAACCAUAAGAAAUACAGAAGAGAGACAGUAAUUGAGGCUCAGGGACAUCAUACUCACUUCUAAGUGUCCACACACAGAUUUUAGUAGUUUGUAAGUUGAAUCUCUGGAGAGUAAGGAGACAAAUAUGUACUGAAAAACAAAACAGGAUAAUUAUGAAUAGAUAUUGCCGGAUGA